rnacentral:misc_RNA from 1 species
GUGAAUCAUCGAAUCUUUGAACGCACAUUGCACUCUCUGGUAUUCCGGAGAGUAUGCCUAUUUGAGGGUCAUUUGAAACAAUAUAAAUUCCAUGAUUUCUCGGAAUUUAAAAUGGGUUGUUCAUUUUUUGUGUUCGCCUAACAUCCAAGACAAGCUCAUGUUCUUGGUCGGCGUGAUACUUUCAGUUAACUCGUGACUUAACCAUGUAUCAUCGUGCGUUGUAUGAAUUUU